rnacentral:tRNA from 1 species
GCCCCUGUAGUGUAGUCCGGGUAUUCAAUAAUUAGUUGUCGAUAGCAUUUCGGGUUUUCGACUCGACGACGUGGGUUCGAAUCCCGCCGGGGGCA